GAUGAAGAACGCAGCGAAACGCGAUAGUUAAUGUGAAUUGCAGAAUUCAGUGAAUCAUCGAGUCUUUGAACGCACAUUGCGCCUCCUGGUAUUCCGGGAGGCACGUCUGUUCGAGCGUCAGUGAAAACCAUUCCGGACCGGCGGUUUUAGGACCGCCCGGCCUCGGGCCUUUGGCGCGGGGAGGCAGAACCCUUCGCGGUUCCCUCCCCCGCUCAAACGCGGAGAUAGCUAGCGGGCAACUUUGGCCUCCAUAAUGCGACGACUCGUAAGAACUUCUCACCCGUCGUACCGCGCCGGAGGAACCACACGGUUCGCCCUGCCUUGAACCCAAACCGGGACACCCUUCGGUGACCGGCCACCUGACUCUUGACCUCGGAUCAGAUGAGGAUACCCGCUGAACUUAAGCAUAUCAAUAAGCGGAGGA
rnacentral:misc_RNA from 1 species